ACGAAGGGGGCUAGCGUUGUUCGGAAUCACUGGGCGUAAAGCGCACGUAGGUGGAUGUGCCAGUCAGGGGUGAAAUCCCGGAGCUCAACUUCGGAACUGCCUCUGAAACAGCACGUCUUGAGUCCGGAAGAGGUGGGUGGAAUUCCUAGUGUAGAGGUGAAAUUCGUAGAUAUUAGGAAGAACACCGGUGGCGAAGGCGGCCCACUGGUCCGGUACUGACGCUGAGGUGCGAAAGCGUGGGGAGCAAACAGGA
rnacentral:rRNA from 1 species